CGGGGCGGGCGGCGGUCCCGAUCAGCUUCCAGAGUGUAGGCCAGGGCUGCAGAUGGACAGGGCAGUCAGCAGGCGCCAGAGCUAAGAAAGCAAGAUUAGAGGUCACCAGUGGGGAAACUGAGGCCCAGAGAGCAGAUGGGCAGGUGGCUCAGCCCAGUCUCGAACCCAGGUCUUGGGAUCUCCUUUCACCACGCCCCCCCUGCUUCCCUGACUUAUUUCCCUGUGCCUUCACCCAAUGUCAUCACAUAAAGACCUGGGCCUCAC